GCCUUGCCCUCAACACGCCCUUUAUCUAGAAAUCCAUCAGUCACCGGGGUGAAGUCGUUUAAGUUUUUAGAGUUGCGCUCGAAGUCGCCGUGCGAAGGGCACAGGAGCGCAGGGAGCGGGCGCGCCGAGGCCGUUCUGCGGUGGAGGAUGCGUUCCUGCUUCUCGGCGGUGCCCGAGGGGUGGGAUUAAACCUUCCAGAGGUGCCUCCUGAGAGUCGCGUUCUGACCAUCUGUACCCAAACCGAGCAAAUUCAGCCAUAAAACACAGUGUUAGGUACUUAAACUCUGGAGCCUGAAGAGAGAGAUGUUGUAAGCAGAAAGCCAAGGAAAAUGUGAAAUAAAAAUUAUCAACCCACUGGAAAUUCCCUACCCCGACACGGAAUCAUCAUAUAUUUUGAAGAGACAUCUGGAUUCCUCUAAGUGUGACUUCCCACUGGACAAAGCCAAAGCAGACUUUAUGUGGUGUUGAUAUCAAUCUAGGUUCAAGCAGGAGGCUCAGAAGUCUCCAGGGAUGAGAUCUCACAACCUCUCUAUGUGACCUGCUCUACUGCUGCAUUGCCCUCCUCUUGAUUAAAUUUUCUUAAUCAGCUUCUAAGUUGCAGCUUGUGGCCAUCAAUUGCAGAAUAUACAGAGCAUUUGGAAGUUCUCAUGGAUCUAAGUCACUAAGUAUAGGAACUGUUUUAAAAACAACUGCUGUAUUAAUUAUUUUUAUUAAUAAAAUGUCUGAAAAAAUAUUACUGAUGUGCAGCAAAUGCAGAAAUAAAACUUGUGAAUUUAACUAUGAGCAAUGAACAGACUGAUUGACAAAUUGACUUGAUACCUAAAAAUAAAUAUUGCUCUUGCUAAUUACUCUUUUUAAGUGAACUCUGGAUUUUGCAUUAAUUGCUGUAUAUACAAAGAGACUUUUAAAAUAUUUAGUAAUUUAGCUGCAGAGCAAGGAUGAUUUGUCUUUUCCCGGUGAGGAAAUAGUGUUUUAAAAUAUGACAUAACACAAAAAAAUAUGUGUUAUAUUGCUGGAGUUGCACUUCUGUCUAAAUGUAAUGAACUGCACAUAACCAUCCUUCCUCUUGUUUGACAAUAUUUUCUAUAUAUUAGCCAGUAAAUUAUUGGAUGUAGGGUAGUAGAACUGGUCAUGAGUUUUGACACUUCAGAAAACCUGCUUGGAUGGUUUGGAAUUGUUGAGAGCUGUAUGAAGGAGCCCUCAUUUCUAAUUUCUGUUCUCUGGGCUGCAUGGUGGUCCUGUGUUAGCUUUGGGAAUGAGAGUACAACCACCUGUCUUAAACCGUGCCCUGAAGGAAGGCACUUUGGAGGUGUGAUAGGAGGUGUGGAGAAGAGAUGACUGAGAGGGGACCUUAUCAGUGUAUAUAAAUAUCUGAAGGGAGAAUGUCAAGGGGAUGCUCUUCUUAGUGGUGCCGGGUAGUAAGACAAGAGAUAACUGGCAGAAACUGAUGCACAGAAGUUGUACCUGAAUAUGAGAAAGAGCUUCUUUACUGGAGUAUGAGGAAGAGCUUCUUUAGUGUGCGGGUGAUUGCACACAGGAACAGAUUGCCCAGAGAGGCUGUGGAGUCUCCCCGACUGGAGAUAGUCAAGAACCAUCUGGAGGCAAUCCUGUGCCAUGUGCUCUGGGAUGACCCUGCUCAAACAGCGAGGUGGGACUAGGUGACCCACUGUUGCCCCUUCCAACCUUACCCAUUGUGAAAUUCUGUGACUCAUAUUCUAUGGAAUAAAAGUCUGUCUUACUUCCUGAAUUAAUUUUCUAUCUGCUGUGAUAGGAUAUGGAUAUGGAUAUGGAUAUGGAUAUGGAUAUGGAUAUGGAUAUGGAGUGUUCCUUGAUCUCUUGCUCUUUGGCUUCAGUUCUGACUUGUGUGACAGCAUGUGGCUGGCUGUCCAUUGCGAGCUGGCCUGAGGUUCCUUGCCUGUGUUAUGUAACUGGAGCUGUUGGCUACAGCAUGCCAUGUCCAUCAUCAGUUAUCCAAGGUAUGGUUUGGAAUGAGAACCUAUGAUGCUGUGUGGUUUCAGCCCCCCGCCUCUUUCUGCUUAUGAACUCCUUGUAGUGCUUUUGCACCAGCAGUCUUUCAGAUAACCUAAGAAUAGUAUCCACCCUGCCUAAGAGCAGAAGUAAUUUGUUCUUUCUGCCAGUUCAUUUGGCAUAUCGCUGAGCAAAUAUUGAGGAAUGCAGUUUGCUUCCUUUUUAAUGUGGAACAUAUUAUCCAGUAAGGGAAUGAGAUGGAAUUCAUAUAUCAAGUAUCUUCAACUGCAUUGUAAUAUCAGUAAGGAAAUGGAUUACAGUAUGGCUGGCUUCUUAUGUUCUUGCUUUAAUAUCAGAUUAAAAUGUACUAUAUGGUAUCUUGAAACCACCAUACUUAAUGGACUGUGUUAUACUAAUUAAAGAAUUUUGAAUGCA